rnacentral:rRNA from 1 species
UUAAGCGACUAAGCGUACACGGUGGAUGCCCUGGCAGUCAGAGGCGAUGAAGGACGUGCUAAUCUGCGAUAAGCGUCGGUGAGGUGAUAUGAACCGUUAUAACCGGCGAUUUCCGAAUGGGGAAACCCAGUGUGUUUCGACACACUAUCAUUAACUGAAUCCAUAGGUUAAUGAGGCGAACCGGGGGAACUGAAACAUCUAAGUACCCCGAGGAAAAGAAAUCAACCGAGAUUCCCCCAGUAGCGGCGAGCGAACGGGGAGGAGCCCAGAGCCUGAAUCAGUGUGUGUGUUAGUGGAAGCGUCUGGAAAGGCGUGCGAUACAGGGUGACAGCCCCGUACACAAAAAUGCACAUAUUGUGAGCUCGAUGAGUAGGGCGGGACACGUGGUAUCCUGUCUGAAUAUGGGGGGACCAUCCUCCAAGGCUAAAUACUCCUGACUGACCGAUAGUGAACCAGUACCGUGAGGGAAAGGCGAAAAGAACCCCGGCGAGGGGAGUGAAAAAGAACCUGAAACCGUGUACGUACAAGCAGUGGGAGCCUCUUAAUGGGGUGACUGCGUACCUUUUGUAUAAUGGGUCAGCGACUUAUAUUCUGUAGCAAGGUUAACCGAAUAGGGGAGCCGAAGGGAAACCGAGUCUUAACUGGGCGCUAAGUUGCAGGGUAUAGACCCGAAACCCGGUGAUCUAGCCAUGGGCAGGUUGAAGGUUGGGUAACACUAACUGGAGGACCGAACCGACUAAUGUUGAAAAAUUAGCGGAUGACUUGUGGCUGGGGGUGAAAGGCCAAUCAAACCGGGAGAUAGCUGGUUCUCCCCGAAAGCUAUUUAGGUAGCGCCUCGUGAAUUCAUCUCCGGGGGUAGAGCACUGUUUCGGCAAGGGGGUCAUCCCGACUUACCAACCCGAUGCAAACUGCGAAUACCGGAGAAUGUUAUCACGGGAGACACACGGCGGGUGCUAACGUCCGUCGUGAAGAGGGAAACAACCCAGACCGCCAGCUAAGGUCCCAAAGUCAUGGUUAAGUGGGAAACGAUGUGGGAAGGCCCAGACAGCCAGGAUGUUGGCUUAGAAGCAGCCAUCAUUUAAAGAAAGCGUAAUAGCUCACUGGUCGAGUCGGCCUGCGCGGAAGAUGUAACGGGGCUAAACCAUGCACCGAAGCUGCGGCAGCGACACUAUGUGUUGUUGGGUAGGGGAGCGUUCUGUAAGCCUGUGAAGGUGGCCUGUGAGGGUUGCUGGAGGUAUCAGAAGUGCGAAUGCUGACAUAAGUAACGAUAAAGCGGGUGAAAAGCCCGCUCGCCGGAAGACCAAGGGUUCCUGUCCAACGUUAAUCGGGGCAGGGUGAGUCGACCCCUAAGGCGAGGCCGAAAGGCGUAGUCGAUGGGAAACAGGUUAAUAUUCCUGUACUUGGUGUUACUGCGAAGGGGGGACGGAGAAGGCUAUGUUGGCCGGGCGACGGUUGUCCCGGUUUAAGCGUGUAGGCUGGUUUUCCAGGCAAAUCCGGAAAACCAAGGCUGAGGCGUGAUGACGAGGCACUACGGUGCUGAAGCGACAAAUGCCCUGCUUCCAGGAAAAGCCUCUAAGCAUCAGGUAACAUCAAAUCGUACCCCAAACCGACACAGGUGGUCAGGUAGAGAAUACCAAGGCGCUUGAGAGAACUCGGGUGAAGGAACUAGGCAAAAUGGUGCCGUAACUUCGGGAGAAGGCACGCUGAUAUGUAGGUGAAGCGACUUGCUCGUGGAGCUGAAAUCAGUCGAAGAUACCAGCUGGCUGCAACUGUUUAUUAAAAACACAGCACUGUGCAAACACGAAAGUGGACGUAUACGGUGUGACGCCUGCCCGGUGCCGGAAGGUUAAUUGAUGGGGUUAGCGGUAACGCGAAGCUCUUGAUCGAAGCCCCGGUAAACGGCGGCCGUAACUAUAACGGUCCUAAGGUAGCGAAAUUCCUUGUCGGGUAAGUUCCGACCUGCACGAAUGGCGUAAUGAUGGCCAGGCUGUCUCCACCCGAGACUCAGUGAAAUUGAACUCGCUGUGAAGAUGCAGUGUACCCGCGGCAAGACGGAAAGACCCCGUGAACCUUUACUAUAGCUUGACACUGAACAUUGAGCCUUGAUGUGUAGGAUAGGUGGGAGGCUUUGAAGUGUGGACGCCAGUCUGCAUGGAGCCGACCUUGAAAUACCACCCUUUAAUGUUUGAUGUUCUAACGUUGGCCCGUAAUCCGGGUUGCGGACAGUGUCUGGUGGGUAGUUUGACUGGGGCGGUCUCCUCCUAAAGAGUAACGGAGGAGCACGAAGGUUGGCUAAUCCUGGUCGGACAUCAGGAGGUUAGUGCAAUGGCAUAAGCCAGCUUGACUGCGAGCGUGACGGCGCGAGCAGGUGCGAAAGCAGGUCAUAGUGAUCCGGUGGUUCUGAAUGGAAGGGCCAUCGCUCAACGGAUAAAAGGUACUCCGGGAUAACAGGCUGAUACCGCCCAAGAGUUCAUAUCGACGGCGGUGUUUGGCACCUCGAUGUCGGCUCAUCACAUCCUGGGGCUGAAGUAGGUCCCAAGGGUAUGGCUGUUCGCCAUUUAAAGUGGUACGCGAGCUGGGUUUAGAACGUCGUGAGACAGUUCGGUCCCUAUCUGCCGUGGGCGCUGGAGAACUGAGGGGGGCUGCUCCUAGUACGAGAGGACCGGAGUGGACGCAUCACUGGUGUUCGGGUUGUCAUGCCAAUGGCACUGCCCGGUAGCUAAAUGCGGAAGAGAUAAGUGCUGAAAGCAUCUAAGCACGAAACUUGCCCCGAGAUGAGUUCUCCCUGAGACUUAGAGUCUCCUGAAGGAACGUUGAAGACGACGACGUUGAUAGGCCGGGUGUGUAAGCGCAGCGAUGCGUUGAGCUAACCGGUACUAAUGAACCGUGAGGCUUAACCUU